UUCCGGGUCCCGUGACUCGCAUGACUGCAUCGCCGGGUGCGCGGACCGAGGAUCUGCCCUGUCCCCCUUGAGAGAGAAGUUCCCACGGCCGUGGCGCCCAUGGCGGGCGAGAGACUCGGGCAACAGGGCGAAACGGCCACUGCGGUUCCGGAGACCCGAGAGCACCUCUUUAAGGUGCUGGUCAUCGGCGAGCUCGGCGUGGGCAAGACAAGCAUCAUCAAGCGCUAUGUGCACCAGCUCUUCUCCCAGAACUACCGCGCCACCAUUGGCGUGGACUUCGCCCUCAAAGUCCUCAACUGGGACAGCAGGACGCUCGUGCGCUUGCAGCUGUGGGACAUCGCUGGAUAACAUAAACAUCGAUGAGGCCACCCGCUUCCUAGUGGAAAACAUGCUCGCGAACCAGCAAAGUUUUCCUAGGGAAGAAAUCGACAUGGACAAAAUUAAACUGGUGGAGGAGCCCCCCACGACAAAGCCCAAGUCCCAGUGCUGCUGAUGUGUCUCCAUGGUCUUGCAUGCGCAUGCGUCUGAGGGUGCCCCCUCCUAACCCUCGGUGCCAUUGUCCGCUGUGAAUCUCCCUCAGGGGCGCUUUAUCAUUCAUCUGCACAUGAACCGCCCAUCUGAACUGGAGAUCCCAGGAGCACUGUUCCCACUAGAGGCUCUUUGAUUUACCAGAGGACCCCUCAGGCUCUUUGUACUGCUAAAGGCAGACUAAUGUUUACAGCCUUUGAAAUAUUUUGUACACGAAUUUCAAGGGUUAGCUUUUAAUGUGGUUGGCCAGUAGAAAAACUUCCCUCCUCCCCUUGGUGAUCCUGACAUCUUGAGUGUCUUUUUUCCUGUAUACAUCCUCACCUAAGCACGGGUUGUUCUUGGUUUUUGUUUGUCUUAUUGUUUGUUUUCUUUCUUUAAGGUGGUAGCUACGAAGACUUGAAGGUCCCACGCAGUUAUAUCCUAGUCAAAACUUGGUGCGUCGUGUAGAGUUUUUAUCUUUAAAUAACAUGAUUCUAGAACGCAUAGCCAUUGUGUAACUGAGUCACUCUGAAUCACCCUUGAGAGCCCCUUCUUUAAUUAGUCAAGAAGUACCGAGCUGGGGAUGUGGCUCACUUAGAGAGCGUUUACCUUGAAUGUGAUAGAUGCUCGAGAGAUCAAAGAAGUUAGCACCAUACCUGUUCUGUGGGUGUCUCCCUCUGGAUCCUCUCUAGGGGUAGUUGCCACUCCCACUUGGAAACAAUACAAAUGAACUUUUUUUUUCUUCUGCCCUCUAGUCUGUGUUUAUAGCCUAGAACCAUAUUAAAGAUACAGUGGUACUAAGAGGAACUUGUCUUUCCAGACCCGUCUUGGUAAUAAUGGUCAGGAGGAGAAUUCUUUUUCGAAGCACAUGCAAGUUUAUGCAAAAGUUUCUGUAGUGUAAAACCUGAAAGAAAGUAAACCAUGUCUAGUAUUGUCUAUGGUUUUUGGGUACUGGUUGUAUAAUGCCUAGGACACUCAGGAAGAUCCUCUAUAUCGCAUUGCCUUUCACUCAGUGAAAGAAACGAAUAGAUAUUUUAACCUAAGCCUGUGUGCUGAAUGAAUGUCAUUCUAGGAAGGUCCUUUUCUGGUGAAGAAAAUGUGUUUGACUGGGGUGUUGGUUCACCUCUGUUGCCCCAGCAUGUAGGAAACAGAGGCGAAGGGUAGGAGUUCGUGGCAUAUCUUGGCUACAUAGCCAGCUCAAGGACAGCCUGUGCUACAGAAGAGGCUUUCUCCAAAAAAUAAAAAAUAAUAAUAAAAAAAUGGUUUGCUGUUGAAUUUUAGAUUUAGUUAUUUUAUGUGCGUGCUUCGUUUGCAUUUGCUCCCACGUGGCCAUGUAUGUACCUGGAGCCUGCAGAGAUCAGAAGAGGGCAUUGGAUCCCCUAGAACUGGAGUUGUGGAGGGUUGUGGACCAUUGUCAAUGAUGGGAACGAGACCCACAACUUCUGCAAGAGCAACAAGUGUUUUCAAUCACUGGGCCACCUCUCCAGCACCUUGACUCUUUUAUUUAAAGGGGCUUAUAUUAUGCAAAAGUUCAGGAUCCUUAAGGGAAUUUAAAAAGCCUUUGUAUCAUAGCUUUAAGCUAACACAACAUAAAAGACUGGAAUACUUGUCUUCUGAAUCAUGUUGAUAGGGUAAGUGAGCCUGUGGCCUCUAAUAGCAAGAUAAACAGAAGUGCAGUGUUCUAGAGUCUGUGUCCUGGAGAUAAAUAGGGACUCACAGGCUCUCUUUUCACUAAACUUAAGCUUCACCUAGCAAUACAAGCGUGACCAUAUCCUAUACAUUUAAGUAAAGAAAUCAUAUUAACCCUUUGGCCAUGUGAUCAUAAAUCUGGAUUUUCUGAAGUAAAGGAAUAAGAUACCAGGGCUUGAUUAACGUGCAUAACAUAGUAUGAUCAUUAUGGUUUUGUCAUUUGUUAAAUCUCACUUUUGAAAAAAAAACUAUUAUUACCCAAGCAUAAAAUAAAACUUUAUAAUGUUUCUGCUAUCUCACAUCCUGUGAAGAAUGUAUGGGGUGUUACCCCGGUUGUUAGAAACACUGAACCCAUCCUAAAUCACUAUUGAAAGUGACUACAGUCACUUGUAAGUUCUUGUGUGCAACUGGAGUUUGGUUUUACAUGUAACCUAGCACAUGUGAGCUAUUGUUUAGCCAUGGUCUCCAAAUGAGAAUUAUUGUACUCAAUCUGUCCUUCUUUACAACGUUUGUUAACUUACAGUAAUCAUUCAGGAUAGUUCCUGACAAAACCGAUUUCUGUUAUGUCAAACGGUGUGGUUUAUGCUUUGUGAUGUUCAUAUUUCAGAGAAAAAAAAUGUUCAUCUUAUGCCUUAAACUCUUCUGUUUUGUAACUUGAAUACAAAAUUUUAAUUGCGGGUACGUUAUAUAAAAGGUAUUAAAUGAAAGAAAAAC
rnacentral:lncRNA from 1 species